rnacentral:tRNA from 1 species
UCCCGUGUGGUCUAGUGGUUUAGAUUCCUGGCUGCCACCCAGACGGCCUGGGUUCGAUUCCCGGCGUGGGAA